rnacentral:rRNA from 1 species
UACGUAGGGGGCAAGCGUUGUCCGGAAUUAUUGGGCGUAAAGAGCGUGUAGGCGGUCCGGUAAGUCGGCUGUGAAAGCCCAGGGCUCAACCCUGGGAUGCCGGUCGAUACUGCCGGACUAGAGUUCGGAAGAGGCGAGUGGAAUUCCCGGUGUAGCGGUGAAAUGCGCAGAGUAUCGGGAGGAACACCUAUGGCGAAGGCAGCUCGCUGGGACGUUACUGACGCUGAGACGCGAAAGCGUGGGGAGCAAACAGG